rnacentral:misc_RNA from 1 species
ACUCUUCAACCCACCGGUUCCUUGUUGAACUGUGUGGUGCUUGGUUACUGAACGUUGCUGGUUCCUCGUGAACGCUAGCUCGUUUAAAAUUCAUUAGCAUCUCAAUUUCGAAACGUGGAUUGACUCAGCGUAAUAGACUAUUCGCUGAGGACACUGCUUGCGGUGGCCAUGUUAGAUAACGAUCGAUGCUCAUAGCACUCUAUCUAGUCAUUCUUUCUAAG